CGAGGAGUCCCAUCCCAUAUAGGGUUGGUCCUUUUGAUUACCAGUCGGCCGUGAUGUGCGACUGUCGCGUGAAGGCUGCAUGGUGGAUCUCGUGGAGUCCGGACAACCCCAGCCGCCGGUACUUCAAAUGUCGCAAUGCCCAGGGAUUGCAGGAAGGUGGAUGUGGUUUUUAUGCUUGGUAUGAUGGGCCGACGACCACCUUUAUUAGAGAAGUGUUGAAUGAUUUGCGAGAUGCAGUUUGGUCAGCGAGGAGGGAGAAGGAAAGACUUGUUUGGCUAUCCAAGAAGAGAGGAUGAAGGU